CUUCCUUGUGUCUUGCAUGUCUUCGACGACAUGAUUCCGGCUCUUACUCGAGCUCCACUGUCACGCUCCACCUCUUCUGUGAACCGAGGGCACCCUCACGUAUGACGGCCCUAGUACGACCCUGAUGAUUCUGUAUCUUGAUCUGAGUACUCUGCUUUAGCUCGCUCGUUGUGGUUUAGAAAAGCACUUUGAAGAAAUGGUUGGUGACGACAUUCCUAACACCAAACCCGUGACUGGUUGGUGUUGUUUGGUGAACUCCUCCACCUGAACCGAGGACUCUUCUCGAUUCUACUUU